rnacentral:rRNA from 1 species
UACGUAGGAUCCGAGCGUUAUCCGGAGUUAUUGGGUGUAAAGAGCGCGUAGGCGGACUGGUAAGUCAGCUGUGAAAGUUUACGGCUCAACCGUGAGAUUGCAGUUGAUACUGUUGGUCUUGAGUAUACAUGAGGUGGGCGGAAUUUGUGGUGUAGCGGUGAAAUGCUUAGAUAUCACAAAGAACUCCAAUGGCGAAGGCAGCUAACUGGGGUAUAACUGACGCUGAUGCACGAAGGUGUGGGGAUCAAACAGG